rnacentral:lncRNA from 1 species
AUCACUUUCUUCUUCCACACAGCACACAUCUAACAGUUUCCAGCUCUAUUCUGAAAGGGAAGAUGUUAGUCCUUAUGCCAUUUUUAAUUAUUCUCUUGACAACAGACUAUAGCAAAGGUGAAAUAGAGCUGCGUGCUUUUAAACACCAGACAGUGAAUUGCAAUGAGAGGACUGUCUUGCAAUGCGGAGUCAGCUCAUCAGUGCCGUUGAACUUUGUAAAAGCGUACUGGAAAAAACAAGAUGAUAAAGAUUUUGAAUGUGUUUCAACAUCCAGCAAUAACCCUUCAGGAUUUGAGUGCAACUACACAGGGGGAGCACUGACAUUAACCAUCUCAAAUCCCACACCAGCAAACAUGGGCACAUACUUUUGUUGUAUAAGGACAGACUUUGGACAUGGAAAAGAACAAAUCGACGUGUCUAUAGGACAAUGCACCGGAGAAUUCUCCAACCAGAUGGCUGGACCCAAAGAAAUGCAGUGCAGCUUCAAUGGUGUGUACCCAGAGGCCAUAAUAAACUGGUAUCAUUAUGACAAGAACCUGACUUCCAACUCUACAAGCACAAGCCUGGUGAACUCUGACGGAACGUUCAACGUCACAAGUGUCCUCAACAUCCAGGACAAUCAAAAGAGAUAUAACUGCUCACUGUGGUCACUCAAACACGGACGAUACAGCGAUCAAGAGUUCGAAGUGGCAGAUCAAGCUGAGUCCAGUCCUGUUAGCAGGAUCAGCACACAACAUUGUUUAUCAUGGACUCUUAUCCUUCUUAGCCUGAUGUUUUCAUCGAGAGCCUGUUUGUCUUUAUAAUCUUUACAUACCAACUCUCACAAGACCUGAUGACAAAACCAAAGAUCUGGUGGAGUUUCAUAAAUGGAAUUCACCAGAUAAACUGAUCAUCUAAUCAAUAUAGUGUCAGACCUUUUACCUGCCAUGUGGUAGGUCUGGAUGUAAUUAAAGUCCAGGGGAUCCCUGAAGACAUGGCCACUGGAUAUGGCAGCGAACUGACAUUUGACCCACAACGUCAAGUCAUAACUUGAUUUAUUUAAGAAAACGCUGACGUGAAAAGCCCAAACUAUUUCAAACAGCAUUUUGAAAACGUAUUUGUUCCCAUUCUUGAUGCAGAAUAAUGUAUGAUCUCAAAUUAAUUGAAAGACUACACUGACU